rnacentral:rRNA from 1 species
AUUGAACGCUGGCGGCAGGCCUAACACAUGCAAGUCGAACGAGUGGCGGACGGGUUAGUAAUGUCUGGGAAACUGCCUGAUGGAGGGGGAUAACUACUGGCAACGGUAGCUAAUACCGCAUACCAUCAGAUGUGCCCAUAUUGGAUUAGCUAGUUGGUGGGGGAAAGGCUCACCAAGGCGACGAUCCCUAGCUGGUCUGAGAGGAGGACCAGCCACACUGGAACUGAGAAACGGUCCAGACUCCUACGGGAGGCAGAAGUGGGGAAGAUUGGACAAUGGGCGAAAGCCUGAUGCAGCCAUGCCGCGUGUAUGAAGAAGGCCUUCGGGGUGGAAAGUACUUUCAGCGGGGAGGCGUUACCUGCAGAAGAAGCACCGGCUAACUACGUGCCAGCCGCCGCGGUAAUAC